CAAUAGCGUAUAUUAAAGUUGUUGCGGUUAAAAGCUCGUAGUUGGAUUUCUGUCUGAGGCGGCCGGUCCACUUUCUGAGUGAGCAUCUGGUCCGCUUUGGGCAUCCUCCUGGGGAACGUUUCCGCGCUUGAUUGUGUGGUACGGAAUCUAGGACUUUUACUUUGAGGAAAUUAGAGUGUUUAAAGCAGGCUAUUGCCUUGAAUACAUUAGCAUGGAAUAAUAAUCUAGGACUUCGGUUCUAUUUUGUUGGUUUCUUAGUACUGAAGUAAUGAUUGAUAGGGAGUAGUUGGGGGUUGGCUAGUAUUGUACCGGCCAGAGGUGAAAUUACUUGGAUUCGGUCAAGACUAACUUAAUGCGAAAGCAUUCACCAAGGAUGUCUUCUUUUAAUUCAAGAACGAAAGUUAGGGGGAGUCGAAGACGAUCAGAUACCGU
rnacentral:rRNA from 1 species